rnacentral:sRNA from 1 species
UAGUGUUAUAAAAGGGUAACUCUGAG